GGUCUGGGAGAGUGGCGUAUCUUGCUGAGGGCUGCGGUAUUUUUUUUUAUACCGGUUAAACUAUGCCAUCGGAUUAAAGCCGUAUAUUCAUUAACUAUUUCCUGACCAGAUCAAGCCUGACACUAAAAACAUGAGUAACGUUGCAGAGAUUAAGAUAAACCUCUACUGAAAAUGAAAUGGGAAAAUUUCAGAUGACUAUAUAUGGAAAUGUGCUUAAGAGAGUUUAUGUCUCUUUAAGAAAUGGAGAUCUAUAUGUGGAUUCUCCACCCUGUUUCUUUGUGUUAUGCACCUCUCCUUAUGCCAGGGCCACACUGCCUUAAUCACAUCACAGCUUUCUAGUACCAAAAAAUCAGAAGAUGGAUUGAACUCAGGACCUUGUGCUUGUAAGGCAGGCGGCGGAACCACUGAGCUAAAUCUCUG
ensembl:lncRNA